GGAGUUACUGGGCGUAAAGGGUGCGCAGGCGGUCCUGUAAGUAUGGUGUGAAAUCUCCCGGCUUAACUGGGAGGGUGCGCUAUAAACUGCGGGACUAGAGUGUGGGAGAGGAAAGUGGAAUUCCUGGUGUAGCGGUGAAAUGCGUAGAUAUCAGGAGGAACACCGGUGGUGUAAACGGCUUUCUGGACCAUAACUGACGCUGAGGCACGAAAGCGUGGGUAGCAAACAGGAUUAGAUACCCUGGUAGUCCACGCCCUAAACGAUGCAUAUUUGGUGUGGGUCAUUCAGUUGAUCCGUGCCGGAGCUAACGCGUUAAAUAUGCCGCCUGGGGAGUACAGUCGCAAGGCUGAAACUCAAAGGAUUUGACGGGGGCCCGCACAAGCGGUGGAGCAUGUGGUUUAAUUCGACGCAACGCGAAGAACCUUACCUGGGCUCGAAAUGCUACGGACCAGCUUAUGAAAGUAGGCCUUCCCGCAAGGGACCGUAGUAUCGGUGCUGCAUGGCUGUCGUCAGCUCGUGUCGUGAGAUGUUGGGUUAAGUCCCGCAACGAGCGCAACCCUUGUCCUGUGUUGCCAUACCGAAAGGUGGAACUCGCAGGAGACCGCCAGGGAUAACCUGGAGGAAGGUGGGGAUGACGUCAAGUCCUCAUGGCCUUUAUGUCCAGGGCUACACACGUGCUACAAUGGACGGUACAAAGGGCUGCCAACCCGCGAGGGGGAGCCAAUCCCAAAAAACCGUUCUCAGUUCGGAUUGCAGGCUGCAACUCGCCUGCAUGAAGCUGGAAUCGCUAGUAAUGGCGGAUCAGAACGCCGCCGUGAAUACGUUCCCGGGCCUUGUACACACCGCCCGUCACAUCACGAAAGUGGGUUGUACUAGAAGUUCGCGCGCUAACCCGCAAGGGAGGCAGCGGCCCAAGGUAUGACUCAUGAUUGGGGUGAAGUCGUAACAAGGUAACC
rnacentral:rRNA from 1 species